rnacentral:rRNA from 1 species
GACAGAGGGUGCAAACGUUGUUCGGAAUUACUGGGCGUAAAGCGCGUGUAGGCUGCUUCGCAAGUCGGAUGUGAAAGCCCUGGGCUCAACCCAGGAAGUGCAUUCGAAACUGCAGAGCUGGAGUCCUGGAGAGGAAGGCGGAAUUCUCGGUGUAGAGGUGAAAUUCGUAGAUAUCAAGAGGAACACCAGUGGCGAAGGCGAGUCCCUGGACAACUUCUGACGCUGAGGCACGAAAGCUAGGGGAGCAAACAGG